rnacentral:tRNA from 1 species
GGCGAGAUGGCUCAGUGGGUAAGAGCACCCGACUGCUCUUCUGAAGGUCCAGAGUUCAAAUCCCAGCAACCACA